rnacentral:rRNA from 1 species
CACACCAAGGUCUUUGACUAUCAGCUAGAACUUCUCAAGAGCAAUCCUGGUAGUACCAUACUUGUUGGUUUGGACCCUACAUAUAUGGACCAAAACAUCUUUCAAAGGUUCUAUGUGUGUUUCAGUGCUAUGAAAAAAGGUUUUAAAGCAUGUAGAAGGGUUAUUGGGCUUGAUGGUUGUUUCUUCAAAGGGGCGUGUCAAGGUGAACUACUUUGUGCAAUUGGAAGAGAUGCUAACAACCAAAUAUACCCAGUAGCUUGGGCAAUAGUGGAGCAAGAAACAACUCAAAGCUGGGAGUAG